GUGUUUAAUUUGAUUGAACGGCAAAACUUUCCAGUCAAAGAUCGACCCGGAAACGACGAGUGAUGCGAACUUGAGUGGCAGGGAAAUCCGUAUUUCCUGGAGCCCAUGUCACGGCGGUGACCCGAUUGGUACAGACGACAAAGAAAAGACACAUGUAGAGAUCAAUUCGUGCGGCCACUGCCGCGGGGAAGAAGUUGCCUGCAGAUGUCGCGACGGACAUGUGGCGCUGGCGACCGUGGAAGCGGCAGUCAAGGUUCUACAGAGGAUUAACGGAAGUCCGGCCACGACCGCGAAACCUGUGCUGUGGACCAGGUGGAAAACCGGCUGCAUGAUCGCGCUCGUACUGUUUCUGUUUGCCAUCAUCAUUCUACUUAUAGUCUUUCACUAUAUAAAAUGAUUUGGGAUCAAGGAUAAUUUGGGACCCCGGAUUAGUUUAGCACAAAUGCGAAAACACAUUUGCGGGGUUCCCAAACUGAAAACCAUGAUAAUUUACUACCAUAAAAUAUUUGUCCGUUGCGCUAACUGAAUAAUAGCUGAAGUAAAAAAAGUUGAAAGGUACAAAUGUAAACCUAUUCAAUUUAUAGUAUAUUUUUUCUCCUUUACUUUUAUCAUUUUACCUUUCCAUGUUAACUGUUAUUUAUAGUGUAAACCAUAGAUAAGGUUAAAGGGUUAAAAAGUCAAUUAAUGUAAUAACCAAUAUUUUUAAUUAUUAUUUAUAGUAAGUAAAAAAAACAAAUGAUAAAAACAAAGACCUUUUAAACCCAAUUAUGGUACAAACUGUGGUCAUGCUGCAUCGGUAUGUGUGCGCUGCCGUUACAUAGUAGCAUUUGGUCAACUUUCAGGGAAAAUUAGCAGACGGUGUAGGUUAACUAGAUAUACAUUGAUUAUUAUAUUUACUUUAAAAAAUUUAAUUUAUUUUUAAUUGAUUCUUAUUAAUUAAAACGGCCAAAGUGCCAGCGGCUAUAUUGGGUUAUCUUUUGCCACUUAUCCAGAUUUGUCGCGAACGCCUACUUUCCUGCCUUGUUAACUUCUUACAUUUACAUGACAAUGAACGUGAGUUUUUUACGUAUGUAAGUGCAUUCCAACUGUUAGAUUAGUAAUGUUACUAAACACUGUGUAAGUAGUCAAUGCGUAAACGCUCGGUACUUAUUUCUAUUUGUGUAGUAUGGACGGUCACGCGUUCAAUUAAUAAUGCAGCCGUACGCAUAACUGUUAAAGUUUUGUCCUGUUUAUUCGUCAUUAACCAAUAAUUAUUUACGGCUACAUAUGUUAUACAUACUGUUUAGCAUAAUCGGUCAUGCGUUGCUGUUGUUGUUUGAAUUGCUAUUAGAAAAAUACACGAGCUAAGUAAAUAAA